rnacentral:rRNA from 1 species
GCUUAUACUCGACCGUCAGCGGCAUAGGUGCGCGAGAUUGUCGUUUACGCGGCCGUUUCGCGCACGCGAAGCCCUGACGAGUAGGAGGGUCGCGGCGGUGAGCGCAGAAGGGCUGGCCGCGAGGCCGUCUGGAGCCGCCGUCGGUGCAGAUCUUGGUGGUAGUAGCAAAUACUCCAGCGAGGCCCUGGAGGACUGACGUGGAGAAGGGUUUCGUGUGAACAGCCGUUGCACACGAGUCAGUCGAUCCUAAGCCCUAGGCGAAAGCCGAUGUUGAUGCGGUGUAGAUUUAUUAUUAUCGAGAUUAUAGAGGAUAACGAUGAUCUAUACAAACACACCCAUUGGGCGAAAGGGAAUCCGGUUCCUAUUCCGGAACCUGGCAGCGGAACCGUCAAAAAGUCGGGC